rnacentral:lncRNA from 1 species
UUUUGUCCCACCUUAACUGAUGACAUUCCACCACAAAAGAAGUGUAAAUGGCCGGUCCUUGCCUUAACUGAUGACAUGACCUUGUGAAAGUCCUUUUCCUGGCUCAUCCUGGCUCAAAAAGCACCCCCACUGAGCACCUUGUGACCCCCACUCCUGCCCACUGAGCACCUUGCAACCCCCACUCCUGCCCACUGAGCACCUUGCAACCCCCACUCCUACCCGCCAGAGAACAAACCCCCUUUGACUGUAAUUUUCCUUUACCUACCCAAAUCCUAUAAAACGGCCCCACCCUUAUCUCCCUUUGCUGACUCUCUUUUCGGACUCAGCCCGCUUGCACCCAGGUGAAAUAAACAGCCAUGUUGCUCACACAAAGCCUGUUUGGUGGUCUUUUCACACGGACGCUCAUGAAAAUAGGGG